rnacentral:rRNA from 1 species
UACAGAGGUCUCGAGCGUUGUUCGGAUUCAUUGGGCGUAAAGGGUGCGUAGGUGGCGCCGUAAGUCGGGUGUGAAAUUUCGGAGCUUAACUCCGAAACUGCAUUCGAUACUGCGGUGCUUGAGGACUGGAGAGGAGACUGGAAUUCAUGGUGUAGCAGUGAAAUGCGUAGAGAUCAUGAGGAAGACCAGUGGCGAAGGCGGGUCACUGGGGGUUUUCUGACGCUGAGGAACGAAAGCCAGGGUAGCGAACGGG